rnacentral:rRNA from 1 species
UACGGGGGGGGCAAGCGUUGUUCGGAAUUACUGGGCGUAAAGGGCUCGUAGGCGGCCAACUAAGUCAUACGUGAAAUCCCUCGGCUUAACCGGGGAACUGCGUCUGAUACUGGAUGGCUUGAGUUCGGGAGAGGGAUGCGGAAUUCCAGGUGUAGCGGUGAAAUGCGUAGAUAUCUGGAGGAAUACCGGUGGCGAAGGCGGCAUCCUGGACCGACAUUGACGCUGAGGAGCGAAAGCUAGGGGAGCAAACAGG